rnacentral:lncRNA from 1 species
UUUUGUUUUGAGUAGUUGUUAAUUUCCUUUUGAGUUGUUAAAAAAUAUAUAUUGCUUUUCUCCUUCCUAAACCAGGAUAUUCGUUAAGUCAUUAGGAUUUUUGGUGCACUUGCCCCUUUUCUGACUGUAGUUGUGUGGCUUAACAUCCUCAAUAUUCACUCAUUUCGCUUUUUUUUCUCAUUGAGGAAAAACAACUGUGAUAAGAGGAAGCAUUUGGGGUGAGGAAGAAGGGCUGCAGUCAAGGCAGGGACAGCACUGUAGCUCUCAGUGAAAUAUUUGUGAGAAUCUCAAAAAGACGGUGCUUCAAAAAUCACAGUGCACAGCAGAGUUCAAGGAGUGACAAGUGGGGUGGCAUUCAGCAAUAGGUGAUUUUAUUAGGGGUCCUAAUUUAUAUGUGUCCCCAUGGAGAGAAGGAUUGGGAGAAAACAAACUUGCCCAACUUGAGCAUGCGUUGGUUUGCUUUAACCAAGAGUUGAAUUGUAGCUUAGGAUUCAUUGAUAGAAAAUGGUUCAGGUGGAAAGUUCCUAUUGCAGAUAGGUAACCAGCGGGGCCAGACAUGUCCUUUGCAUUUCAGUCAAUUUAAUGAAGACUUAUCAUUGUUUUGGGGUCAGCAGCAUUGAAAAAAAUCACAUUAAUGGUCUCAUUAACUUUUUUUUUUUUGCAGUGCUGGGGAUUGAACCUUGCAUGGGCCACGCCAGCACUGUACCACUGAGCCAUGUCUGUUCCCAGCCCUCCCUUAACACAUUGGAAUUAAAGUGUGGUGAGGAGGAGGUUCCUAGUAGGCAUUUGCAGCACUUUGAAGUACUUUGUUAGAUGUUAGCCCAGAAAUGGACACUGGAGCCGAGAUAGUGCUGCCCCUCCAGCUCUGGGGGAGGAAUCCGAGAUGCCACAGUGCAACCUGCAGUCAGUGGCAGAGAUCUGAUUCUUGAGUUUAGUGUUCUUUUUGUCACACUGUGCUUUUCCCUGCCCCCCAGUAAUGUGUAUCUGGAAACAUCUUAUGAAAGGUCUUGUCCAUGAAGAUGGCCUCAAAUCUAGUGUCACCCAAACACAUUUCCCAGGGCUACUCUCCUGGCACAGGGGAGGAGAAAUGAUCCGUGCAGAUGCCCCAGCUGAGUGUGCCUGCAAGGAUGUGGGGUCUCCCCCGGCACAGGAUAUGCCCCACAGAUAGGAGCUUGGAAGGGGAAGCAGCAGGCUGAGGUGCUUGGGUUGGAGGUUUCCUGUGAACUGCCUAAUGAGGCCUUUUCAAGUGCAGCCCCUCCCCAGGCUGGGGCCCCCUGGCUGACAAGUGGGAGGAGAGCAGGCCUGAGGGGCCACAUUGGGUGGAUCUGUUUUCCACCCAGGGCGCUGCACGUGACAAAAGGGGUGACAAAAGGGGCCCCGCUAGCUCCUGUGUGUCUAGGCACUCUUCUCCGCUGUCCCUGCCCUCCUGGGCCUUCCCUGUUGCCCAGGCAGCCUCGCCCCUCCCCUUCUCUCUCCCUCCCCAUCUCAGUUCCCUCUUUUUUGGCAGUGCUGCUUUUCUCCCCAAACCCUUUUCUCCUCAGUGUACCCUCACAGGCACACUGUGUUAGUUGUGCCUUCAGGUCACACGGGUCUCUGUCCCUUUCUCUCCCAGCCACCAGCCUGCCUUCUAGUGGUCUGGGAGAGGUGAACAGACAUGACUUGCUGGUUUUCCUCCUCCCAUCUUUUAGCCCUUCGAGUCAUCCUGCGUUCUCUUCCUCACACCUCCUGUUCUGUCAGUCCUCUACUGCAGGAUCCCGCUGCCUGUCCCCUGCUUCAGAACCCCGUGGCUCUGUCUUUAAGGCUCUUUCUGCCUGUGUCCAGCCCUUCCUGUUUUGCCUAUUUCACAAAUUGUGCACACUUCCCAAUUUGAACUUUUAUUUUAUUUGUUUAUUUAUUUU